rnacentral:lncRNA from 1 species
UCAAUCUCUCUCUCUAUUGUCCUCCUUUCUCUCUCACCACCAUUAUUCUGUCUUACAUUUUCGCUAUGAAUAUAAUGUAUACGAACCCUAAGGAGGCAAUCGAUUCACCUUUUAAUUUAAUCUCAGUGUGUUGCAAAACCAAUGAGUUGAGUGUAGGAUAACAUGGAGUAGGGGUUGGAGCUCAACAUCGUACGAUUGUCACCGUGAAUUUGGUUUGUAAUUUGUUAAGAUCUGACUGCUGGUUUCUUUUCCUUUUAUGAGGUAAGUUAACUGCUACUUUAUGGAUUUAUUAUGUUUAGGUUUUUUUUUUUUGUUUUUUUUUUUAAAUUUGAGGGUUUUGGUGACAAUGCAGUUGUUUCUUUUUUGUUGAUUUUGAGUAUUUUGUGGUUAUUGUGGAGCAAUGCCUAGACUGCUUGAUCGAUUCGCCAGGCCUUGUAAGUGUAUGACUUUUUAAUUACUUUGUUGAAUUGUGAAUUGUUGUUAUGUUGAUGUGAAUUGUGUGUGGUUUAAUUGGAUUUGUGUUGGGUUAUUUGGGUUAAAAAUUAGAGUUUUGCUUUGUUGGUGUUUAACUAUUUGGAAAGGUAUGAUAUUAUUCAAGAGAAACUAUAAAUUACUUCAUACUUGUCUGUGAGUGCUUGGUUGGUGUUUAACUAAUAGAUAGAUAAAUGAUGAAUUUUGACACCUUUUAGAGAGUUAUAGAUCAGGAGAUUAUUUGAAUUUGUAUGGGUUAGGGUUUUGAAUUUACUUUUUUGAAACUGUAGAAAAGGUUACUUUCAAGGGCCACCAUUAGACCACCCGUAAUGGAACCCCUCGCCGGCGUGAUCCCCCCCAAAAGACGCCCAAAAACUCCACCCUGGCCGGCGUGAUCCGGCAAAAUCCCCCCGCAAGCGUUUUUUGAAACACGCUUGGAUCAAGUUGCUUUGGCCAAUCAAAGCUUAUCUUCCUUUUUCAUUUAUUUAAUCUUCCAAUAGUUUUUUUUUUGGUUUUUUUAUUUUUAUUUAAUUCUUUACACCCUUUUAUCAUAAUGCCCACAUCCUCACUAGACCCAUUUUAGAAAAACGCCCAAUAAUGCCCCUUGCUGACUGGGCUGCCACAUGGCGCAAAACGCCCAAGGGUGGAUCUUGCCCACUACGCAUGGUCUUAGAGUGGUUAUAGCUGGAAGGGCUUAUGCCAUCAAUGAUGAUGAAGUGACAUUCAGGUGCUUAAUUUGAUGAUUUUUUGGAAUGAAUUGAUUGUUAGAUAAUAUGACAUGAUUUGUUCUAUUUUUUUUAGAGGUGAUAGCUUUUGGGAUGAUGGGUAUGAUGUACAACAAAGGGUGCAAGUUUAUUCAAGUUUGUCAAGAGUUAUUAAAGUAGGUGGGAUGGGCAACUUUUAUGUUUUUUUCGGAGAUUAACUGGAAACGAUCAUGCAAACUUUUUUGUAUGUCAAUAGCAUACUUAACCACUAAUAAGAAUUAUCAUUGUUUUAAGUUGAUCGGAAGGUUAGCGGGCCAGUCUACUACUUUGGGCUUGUAGGUAUUUUUGUAUUUUUCAAGGUUGCUUAUUUUGUGCAGCGGUUCAAGAUAUCCGCGAUAAAAUCUCAGGUGGGGUAGAAGCAUUUUCUAGAAGAAAUUUGUUAGGGGUGCCCGACAAAGUUCGUGAAACAAGAUUUCUGAUCAUGUACCAUCAUCAAAAGAUGUGAUGCGAUCCAAGAACUUGCAGGAAAGAAUGAUAGAAACUACAUUCAAGUAGCAGUUUUGCCAUAUUAUCAAAUUGACGCCUAUGUUUGCACCGCUACCAUACCAGGAAUAGGGUUCUGGCGACCCUUCAGUUUUCCGAUGAAGUUUUGGUCAAGCUUUGUUCUUCGGCGAGUUUUCUGCCCAGGAUAACACCGGCGUGGUGGUUUUGACUGAUACAUUACUGAUCUCGAGCAUGUUGUUUUCCUUAUGAGACAUGCCUGUAUGUUUUUGUAAUUCAACUUGAUUGAUGUUUUUUAAUUUUUGAAAUGUCAAAGGUUUGACAUGGUUAAUGU